ensembl:lncRNA
GUGGGAAUCAUUAGUCACUUUGAAAUUUUGAAUUAUAUUGUUCAGGUAUAUUGAGUUAAAUAAAAGGCAUACCGAGUCUUGCCAAAUAACUUAAAAACUGGCAAUUCCCAUCUUCAAGGUGAGAGAAUAUAUCACUUUUUCAAUAUGGUAACUUUUCAUUCCUACGCAUAGAAGACGAAUUGAAAAUCCCCUGCAAAUUUGACUUCUGGAAUUGAGAACCUACUGGAGAGCCUGGAGCUGGAAAUGACAGAUCUGAAAAUCAACAAUGCCUCAGCACCAUCUUCACAAUAAUUUCAAAGCCUGCUGAGAGCAAGAAUGCCCAUCGCGGGAAAGACACGGCUCAUUUCCACGAGCCCAGAGAAGAUGGAGACACAAUGGCAG